UGAGAAAAUAAAGUUUGAACG
rnacentral:piRNA from 1 species